GAAAAAUUAGGGUAGCAAGCCAAAAACCGUAGACAGGGAAGAACAAUACCUUCUUAUUCUGAUCAACCAAAGAAGGAACUCUGUUAAAUUGGAAGAGCAUCCACAAAACUUGGGCAGAAAAUCAAUUUCUCAUCUGAGCUGAGAAGCCUAAUUUCGCGACUCACGGUCAUCUAUGAAAUUAACUUCCUGGCGAGGGUAAAUUGAUAUGGAGAGAAGAAGAGAUAUGCCAAUCCAAGCUCUGACACCAUGUUACAAUACGAAAUCUAAACAGUGAAAGCACAAUCCAGUAGCCCUGGAUUGAUGAGAGAAAGAAAGGAGUUGUAUUUAUGCUUUCAGUUUUCCCCUUGCAUGCUCGAACAUUCAAUGUACUGAUGUCAUUCGACCUGCUUCUUAUUUAUGAUGCAGAUACAUGUGUUCAGGGUCAUCAACAUGUGCUUCGUUGAUACCAUUUGCACUCCAGCUAGCUUUGGUGAGCCUCCUUGCUUUCCGGAGGUCUUCACACUUAUAUUUCCUGUUUUGUUGAGUUGUCGAGGGUCCUGUCCCGACAUCUAUCUUAGUAUUUAG
rnacentral:lncRNA from 1 species